GACGAACGCUGGCGGCGUGCUUAACACAUGCAAGUCGAACGGAAAGGCCCUGCUUUUGUGGGGUGCUCGAGUGGCGAACGGGUGAGUAACACGUGAGUAACCUGCCCUUGACUUUGGGAUAACUUCAGGAAACUGGGGCUAAUACCGGAUAGGAGCUCCUGCUGCAUGGUGGGGGUUGGAAAGUUUCGGCGGUUGGGGAUGGACUCGCGGCUUAUCAGCUUGUUGGUGGGGUAGUGGCUUACCAAGGGUUUGACGGGUAGCCGGCCUGAGAGGGUGACCGGCCACAUUGGGACUGAGAUACGGCCCAGACGCGUACGGGAGGCAGCAGUGGGGAAUAUUGCACAAUGGGCGGGAGCCUGAUGCAGCAACGCCGCGUGCGGGAUGACGGCCUUCGGGUUGUAAACCGCUUUCGCCUGUGACGAAGAGUGAGUGACGGUAAUGGGUAAAGAAGCACCGGCUAACUACGUG
rnacentral:rRNA from 1 species